rnacentral:piRNA from 1 species
UGAUUUUCUUGGUCUCUUGCUUUUUCAGA